rnacentral:rRNA from 1 species
UACGAAGGGAGCUAGCGUUGUUCGGAAUCACUGGGCGUAAAGCGCACGUAGGCGGAUGUGUCAGUCAGGGGUGAAAUCCCGGAGCUCAACUUCGGAACUGCCUUUGAUACAGCACGUCUUGAGUCCGAUAGAGGUGGGUGGAAUUCCUAGUGUAGAGGUGAAAAUUCGUAGAUAUUAGGAAGAACACCGGUGGCGAAGGCGGCCCACUGGACCGGUACUGACGCUGAUGCGCGAAAGCGUGGGGACAAACGGG